UGCAAGUCGAACGAGAAAGCGGGAGCAAUCCUGUGAGUAAAGUGGCGCACGGGUGAGUAACACGUGACUAACCUACCCUGGAGUGGGGGAUAACUGAGGGAAACCUUAGCUAAUACCGCAUAACACCUACGGGUCAAAGGAGCAAUUCGCUUCAGGAGGGGGUCGCGGCCGAUUAGUUAGUUGGCGGGGUAAUGGCCCACCAAGACGAUGAUCGGUAUCCGGCCUGAGAGGGCGCACGGACACACUGGAACUGAAACACGGUCCAGACUCCUACGGGAGGCAGCAGUGGGGAAUUUUGCGCAAUGGGGGAAACCCUGACGCAGCAACGCCGCGUGGAGGAUGAAGGCCUUCGGGUCGUAAACUCCUUUCGAUCGGGAAGAUAAUGACGGUACCGGAAGAAGAAGCCCCGGCUAACUUCGUGCCAGCAGCCGCGGUAAUACGAGGGGGGCGAGCGUUGUUCGGAAUUAUUGGGCGUAAAGGGUGCGUAGGCGGUUUGGUAAGUCUUUUGUGAAAUCUACAGGCUCAACUUGUAGACUGCAAAGGAAACUGCCGGGCUUGAGUAUGGGAGAGGUGAGUGGAAUUCCUGGUGUAGCGGUGAAAUGCGUAGAUAUCAGGAGGAACACCUGUGGCGAAAGCGGCUCACUGGACCAUAACUGACGCUGAUGCACGAAAGCUAGGGGAGCAAACAGGAUUAGAUACCCUGGUAGUCCUAGCCCUAAACGAUGACUGCUUGGUGUGACGGGUACCCAAUCCCGCCGUGCCGUAGCUAACGCGUUAAGCAGUCCGCC
rnacentral:rRNA from 1 species